rnacentral:lncRNA from 1 species
AUUGUCACAACCUUCAAGACGACAGAAUCGAGAUGAAGAUCCUCAAAAAUGACAUAUCCUUCCUUGAAUAGAUGGCGAGAUACAACAUUGUCGUAUUACGUAAAGUCUUGUUUGAGAAUGCACCAAGCACCUGGCUGUAGAAGGUAAAAGAGAAAUACAACAAAAGGUCCUAACAAUCCAAUAGGAUUAUAGAGAAUUUAUAAUUAAACAUUAACAAUCAUAAUCAAAUAUUAAGCAAGCUCAAUUAAAUUUUAUUGAAGUUAUAAAAGAAACACAAGGAAAUCCUAAAGAAAUAUAAAAGAAUAUUAAAGAAAAUUUAGUCAAACCCUAAAAAAAAUCUAAUAGAACCUUAAAUUCUAACCAAAUCCUAAUUCUAAUCCAACCUUAAUCAAACCCUAGAUAAACUCUAAAUCCUAAAUUAAAUCCUAAUCAAAUCUUAAUCCCUAACCAAAUCCUAAUCCAAAUCCUAAACCCUAAACCCUAAACCAAAUCCUAACUCCUAAAUCAAAUCCUAAUAAAACCUUAAUUACUAAUCAAAUCCUAAUCCAAAUCCUAAAUCCUAAACCAAAUUCUAAUCCAAACCCUAAUCCAAAUCCUAAACCCCAAACCAAAUCUUAACUAAACCCUAAACCAAAUCCUAAUAAUUCCUACAACAGAUUUAAACCUCAAUAACUAAUGAAUAAACUGUUGAUCUUAACUAAAAUUUUGCAUACUUCUAAAAAAAUAAGUUAAAAAUAAGCACAAAAAAUUUGAUAAGGAUCGCAAUUACCAAAUUGACGAUAUCCUCAAAAAUGUGCUUGGAUAUUGGCCGACCUCCUUCUCCAAUCUUAAUGCUAAUCUUUCAGAGCCAAUAUCUCUCUUUUGCACCUUUUGAUUGAUCUCAAAAUUCUCAUAUGCAUAGAAAAACAAGUCUAAUAUCCUUUCAUGUAAGUUUCACUCCAAUCCAACUAAUAGAUUGCAAGAAAUCUCAAAAACCCCCACUAGACCUAAAAUUCUACUUUUUGAGACCUUGAUCCACUUAAACCUCAAUAUCCCUCAAUUCAACCGUUAGAUCAAGCUCAAAUUUACGAUACAUAUUAAAAACAACUAAAACCAUAAAUACACAAAAUUUCACCUGUAGAUCUAUUACAAAACUCUUAAAAUCACCCAAAACGUAGACCCUAUUUUAUUUCAUAAAAUCCAAGUCAUCCGAAACAAACCUCGACUUUGCAAAGCUCUUACAAAGUCAUAUCAACUCCAAAUCACCCAAAAUUAACACCCAUAGAAACCCUAUCCAAUAUUCUAUCAAACCCCACUCUCCGAUCUGCCAAAGAGUCCCAAAGUCGUCGUCAAGACUCAGUUUUAAGCCUCAGGGUCUGAUUUCGACCCUGGUUCAUAACCGGUCCUCUCCGGGUAUCAACUUUCAUCUUCUUGAGGUAAUUUUAACUAAUUUGCACUCCUAACUCCUCCCUACAUAUGCUUGUAUCCUUUAUUUUUCUAAUCUACCUUGUUUUGUCUUAUUUAUUGCCUUACAAAUUAAAUAGAAGCAUAAUUUGCAAAAAGGCAGCAUUAGCACCUUUAAUUUUUCUAUCCUUUGACUAAUAUCUAUUUUUCGAAGAUAAUUUGCUACAAUAUUUUUGAAGUGAGAUCCUCAAAAUAUGAUAUUUUUUUCACCCUUUCACUUGUUAUCCAUGUUACAACAUCAUAACGCAUACAUAGAUAACUUAUCUUGCAAGAUAAGACAUGUGGUUAGCAAAGUCAACACUUGUUGAAGGUCCUAUAAGACAUUGCCACAUAGCUCUUAGUUAGAUAGUAUAUAUGGAGGCAAGAGUGAAGCCUUCUUCACUCUUGUCAAUGCCUUUCUAGUCUUAGUCUUGUUUCAAGACUUUCUAAUCUUCUUGUUUUUGGCAAUAGCCAUUUUAGUUAAUAUUAUAUCACCUUUUGAAUGACUUUCUAGUUCUCAUCAGUGAUAGAAGAGUGUAUUGAGGAUUCUUUUUCUUCAAGAUUCAUGUCCUUGACACUUCUUCAACCACUACUUAUUUCAAAACAACCAUGAUCUUCUAUUUCUUUGGAUUUUAUCAUAGAUCUUUUAGUCUCAAGAUUAUGUGAUUCUAUAUUUGUGAUAGUAGAUUAUUUUGCCAAAAUAGAACAUUUUGUAUCAUGCACAAAAUCUAUCACAGGUAAAGAAACUGCCAAACUUUUUCUUGACAAUAUCUAUCAAUAUCAUAGAUUGUCAAAAGAUAUUAUAUUGGAUAGGGGUACUCAAUUUGUAUCAAGAUUUUGGAAAAAUCUUUUUAAGAUUUUAAAGGUGGACAUAAAGCUAUAUUUUGCCUUUCAUCCUCAAAUUGAUGGAUAGACAAAGUACGUAAACCAAGUUUUGGAGUAAUACUUGAGGUAUACCAUCAAUUAUCAACAAAUUAUUCCAGAUCCUCUUGCCAUUGGUAGAGUUUGUUUAUAAUAAUACAUUACAUUCUUCUAUGCAAGAAACACCUUUCUUUGCCAAUUAUGGUUACCAUCUAUGACUUGAUACUUUUGACUUUUUAAAACUUGAUAAUCCUACAAUAGAAGGUUUGGCAAAUUAUUUGUCAAAGCUACAUGCAAUAAUGAAGGUACAAUUAAAGGAAGCUUAAGAACAACAAAAGGUAAACAUGGAUACCUAUGAAAAGAAAAAACUACAAUUCAAUAUAAGUAACAAAGUAUGGUUGCUUUAUUGUAAUAUCAAGACUUCUCAUGUUUGUGAUAAGUUGAACUACCGCAAGCUUGGACCUUUUCUUAUUUGUAGAGAAAUCAAUCUAGUUGCUUAUUGACUACAUCUACCUAAGGCAAUUAAGAUCCAUCUUGUCUUCUACAUGUUUCUUCUUGAACCAUACAAGACUAUGAAUAUAUCAAGAAAAAGAUAAGAUCUACCUCCUCCUAUAGAAGUGGAGAAUAAUAAAGAAUUUAAAGCGGAAGAAAUUUUACAUUCAAGUUGGUGCCAAAAUAAAUUAGAAUAGCAUAUCCAUUGGUAUGGAUAUGAUAUUAAUGAAUGGAUAUGAAAGCAAGUAAAGAAUCUUAUAAAUGCAACAAAGGCAAAAGAGGCUUUUUAUUGAUGACAUUUAUCAAAAUCAAGAUGAAGAAUAGUAAGUCUUUUGCUAUAAAAGAAAUAAGGUCCAAAGAAGAUUGCAUUCUACUUUCUAUCUUUUUUUGUAGCUUUUGUGUAUUUGUCAUGCUAAAGAGAUGGCGAACCAACAACCAACAAAUUUAACUCAAGAGCUUUCAUUUGUGGACUUACCAGAUAAGACAUUGUGAUUGUCACAACCUUUAAGACGAAAAAAUUGAGAUGAAGAUCCUCAAGAAUAACAUGUCCUUCCUCAAAAAGAUGGCGAGAUACAACGUAUUUGAUAUCACAACCUUAGAAGAGACUCUUAAUGUUUGGUGAUUUUAUUAGAGGUAGGAAUAAUUCUUGUCGGUAUUCCAAAUAUUGUAUUUGAAAGAAGUUACAAAGGCCUCAACAACCACCAAAUAACAAGGUGGUCUUCUUGCCUUGAUAUGAGAUAUUAUCAAUGGCUGAGAGGGCCUAUCAACUAUCUUUGAAGGUAACAAAGAUCAGAGUAUGUAACAAAUAUAAUUUGUCACAUCUUGGAAUUUCUCAACAUAUAAAGACCACUCCUUAUAGAACUCGUCUUUAGAAGAGGAGAUGAUGUAACAAACAUACACAUGUAAAUCAAUAAUUACUUAUAUGAUUUAGAUAAUAGUAAAUAAAAGUAGAUUAAUUCCAUAAUAUCUUCUAUAAAAGCUUCCUAAAAGCUUCAUAGAUAUUGCUUUGACUUUAUAAGUGUCUAUAAUUGACUUUUUAGAUUAGAAACGUGGUCAACAAGUUGGCCAUGUACUACACAUGUUGGUAGCUUAAAGAACAAGCUAAUUAUGUGGCUUACACAUAGAAAACUUGCCUUAUAAGCUAAGACAUGUGUCAUGCAAAGUCAACACAUAUUAGAGGUUCUAUAGAACAUCACCAUGUAGUUCUUAGUUAGAUAGUAUAUAUAGAGGUAAGAGUGAAGCCUUCUUCACUCUUGUCAACUCUUUUCUUGCUUUUAGUCUAGAUUUAAGAGUCUCUAGUUUCCUUGUCAUUUGGCAAUAGUUAUUCUAGUUUCUUUUUAUAGAAGAUAUUAUAAGUUUAUCUAAGAAGCUUUUAUAGCCAUCCUUGUCAUUUGACAAUAGCCAUUCCAAUUGCCUUAAUGUAGAAUAUUAUUCUUAGUUGACAUAAUUUAUUUAUCAUUUCUAAAAUAAAAAUAAAAAAAUAAAAAUAAAAAAAUAAAAAAUCAAAGUAUGUAUCAAAUAUAAUUUAUUGCAUUUUGAAUUUUUUCAACAUAUGAUAAUUAUUCAUUAUAGAACUUAUUCUUAGAGGGAAGAGAAGGAGGGAGGGAGGGAGGGAAGUUAUGUCAUUGACAUAACCAUCAUGUAUAAUUACCUACAAAAGAAGAAUUAAGUUGAAAUAAAAAAAAAGUAAAUAUAUUUUGUAUUGUCUUAGGAAGAAGCUUCUUAAAUAUUUUAUAGAUGUAAAUUUUACUUUAUAUGUAUUUAUAGGUGAUUUUUGGGUUGAAAACUUGAUUGAUAAAUUGACCACGUGUUAUAUAUGUUGGAUUUUCAUGGUACAAGUUGGUCUCAUGGCACACAUAUAGAAAACUUAUCUUAUAAGUCAGAUAAGUGUUUCUUAAAUUAGACACAUGUAUGAGGUCAUAUAAAAUGUUCUUACAUACAUCUUAAUUAAAUAGUUUAUAUGGAUGCAAGAGUGAAGCUUUCAUCACUUUUGUCAAUGUGUUUUCUGUUCUUAGUCUUGUUUCAAGUAUCUAAUUUCAUUAUUUUUAGCAAGAAUCAUUCUAAUUUUAAUAUUAUACUAUCUUUGAAUAAAAAUUUAUUAUUUUUUUGUGAUGUAAGAGUUUAUUAAUAUCUUUGAUAAUAAAAUAUUCUCAAAUAUAAAAAAAUUAGAAAUAGAUAAAUAUAUAUAUAUACUUCAUCAAAACCCAAAUUUUAACAUAAAGAUUUUUUUAACAAAAUAAAUAUAGUAAAAAUUUGAAUAUUUAAAUAUUUUAAUAAAAAAAAUAUUUAGUAAUUAAUUCUUGUAUAAAGUAAUAAUAUAUUUAAAUCUUAUUUUAGAAAUUAGAUUUUAUUUUAAAAUAAAUAGUAUAUCCUUUAAGAACCUAUAUUGAAUUAUAAAUGGAUGAAAUAUACAUUAAAUUUGAAUAAAAACAUCAUUUUGCUUCAAUAUAAGAUACAAUUAUUAAUAUUUGAAAAUAAAAAUGUAAUUAGAACAAGUACUUGUCUUUUAAAAAAAUAAGAGAGACAAUUGAGACUAUAAAUAAAUCAUCUUCAAGUAUAUUUUAAAUUUUAAUAAUAUUAUUUUUAAAAAUAUUUUUAUUUUUUACUUUAAAAUAUUUGAUCUAAAAAAUAAAAUUCAUGACAACAAUGACUUAAAUAUAGAAUAAAAGAGAGAUUUUAUGGUAUUUUACAAAUUCGACUAUAAAAAUUGAAAGAUUUACUUAUCAAUUAUAUUUUUAAUUGACAAUAAAUAUUAUAAAUAACUAAUAAUUUUUUUAAAAAAAUUUUAAAAUUUUAAAAUUUUUUCUAAAAUAAAUAAAAAAAUCCUUUAAUAAAUUUAACUAAAUUAAUUUUAAAAUAUUUUUUUAUUAAUUCUUAUAAAAUAAUUCUAAAUAAAUUUAAAUAUCUAAAAUUCUAUCUUUUAUUCUUUAUAGUUUAUAUAUUUUAUUUAUUUAUAUGGAUUGAAUUUUAAAGAAUUUUCAAAAUAUUUAUAACCAUUAUUUUUAAUUGGAAAUUUAUAUAUAUAUAUAUAUAUAUAUAUAUAUAUGUAUAUAAAUAUAUAUACAUACUAAAUAUAUAAAUCAAAUAAAUGGUUGUUGAUUAUUUCAAAGAUAAUAGUUUAAAAAUACAUUAUAUAUAGGUAUUUAUUUAUUUAUUUAUUUCUCUAAAAAAAUUAUCUAGCUAUUAGAUUAAUGACAAAAAUUUGUUUUUAUUUUUGAGAAUUUUAAAACAAAGACUAAAUAAAUAUAUCCAUGAAAUAAUAAAUAAAUAAAUCAAAACUUUAGUUUUUUUAAUCUUUGAUAUGUUAUUUCUUUCUUAAAGAAGUAGAAUGUAAUACUUAAAUAGCAAAGAAGAAUUUUUUCUAUGAAAAUUAGAAUAAAAGUGACACAAGCAAGCAUACAACUUUUGUAACAAAAAAAAAUACUUAAAAAAUAUUUUUUGCUUACUCUACUUUGUAUUUUUGUUUUUUACUUUGAUAUUAAUUUAUAUAAUAAUAUAAAAUUAAAAUCAAAACUAAUUUGUUUACCAUUUAACGAGAAUAACAUCAAAAAAUGACUUAAUUUGAUUUGAAGUGUAUGUUGAAAGAAUAAAACUUGGUCAAUUUUUAGCAAAACAAUAUCUAUGCCUAACAGUAAAUUUUUUCGUCCAUGAUUUUGCUGUAAUAUCUUCUAAAAACGAAAAUAUUAAUUAAAAGGAUGUAUUAACUAAUUAUUAAUGAGAUAUAUUUUUUCAUUUAUAGACUAUUAAAAUAUUUGUUUCUAAAGGUUUUUUUUCCAAACUAAUAUUUUGGAUAGUUAUAAUGUUUUAAUCUAUAUCUUUAAUAUGGUGUAUAUAUAUAUAUAUAUAUAUAUAUAUAUACAUACAUACAUAUAAAUAAAAUAAAGGUACUUUGUAUUAUUAGUUAAUCUUGCAUUAGUAAGACUAGAACAUCUCUCAUUUUAUUUCUAUACUUAUAUUAUAGCAAUUAGUCUUCAUAGGAGUUUCUAUAUUAGAUUCUACAAAUUAUAAAUCAUUUAGAUAAAUACAAGUAUAAUAAACUUUUAGACAUUAUUAAAGGUACUAGAACAUUAUUAAAAAGUGUAGAAGAAUAUAAAAGAUUAUUAAAAUCUUUUAUAAAACUAUAUAAAAUUUUCAAAUUUUAUAAAAAAAUACAUUAUAUUUUGAGGUUUCUAAAAAUUCACAAAAAGUAAUACAAAUUUCUUCAAGAAUUUGAAACAUUUAUGAACAUCUUGUAGAUUGCUUCAAAUUGUGGUUUAUUAUACAUCUAUUACAAAACCUAUUGAAUUUCAUUUUUGGACAUAGAAAAAUAAUAAUAGACCUAAGAAAAACCUCAAAGUAUGUUUUUAUAUAAAUAUGUUAUAUAUACAAAAUCUAUAAGUUAUAUUAAAGAAUUUAAAAAAGAUAUAAAAUUACAAGUUAUAUAGAAUAUAUGAUUAGCUAUGAUAUAAAUUUUAAUUACAUAUCAGCCUAGCAAUUUUAGUUAAAAUUAGAUUUUAAAAUAAAAUAUAUUUUAAAAAUAUAGUAAAUAAUAACUUAAAUUAUUUUAAUACACAUAAUUGUUUUGAUAAAAAAAAAUUAUUAAUUUUAAUUAUAAUAUAAACAUAAAUUUUAUGCUGAUGCAAGAAUUAAUUUUAUUUAAAAAAGUAAACAAACAUCAACACAAUCAUAGAUAAUAGCUAUGAAUCAAAGAAUGAUCACUGUGUUUUUAAAAAUUUGCAAAAUAUAACAUAUAAUUUUUAAGUAUUUAUGUUAUUUUUAAUUAUGUCACAAAAUUAUUAUAAUAGGAUAUUGUGAUUUAAGUAAAACAGUAGAAUUGUAAUGUAAGAUAAUUAGAUGCUACAAAUUUUAAAGUUAAUAAAGAAAUUUAUUUGAUUUUGAUGUUUGUACACAAGAACUAAGCUUCUAAAGCAUCAAUUGUAAAUUCCGAAAAUUUACAAUUGAAAAAUUCUAUCAACUUUAAAUUCCGAAAGUCUUACAGUGAUCAUUAUCAAUAAAUUCUAUUACCAAUUAUCCAACUUGUACAUACUCAAACUCAGAUUCGGUAAUUAUAAACUAUUUUACCAAAUUUUAUUAUUUAAAAUAUUAAAAAUAGAUGAUUUUGUAUCAGGACUAGAAAAAAUAUUUUCAAAAAUAAUUAUUUGUGUUUUUGAAUUUUCAAAAUUACCACGUUAAAUCACAAAAUAAAUCUACUUCUAAACAUGAUUUAAAGUUCUCAAUUUAGAAUAAUUUAUAAAAAUAAUUUUCUUAGUACCAAAUAAUUGCAAUAAUGGCAGUUGGUUAAAUGAUUAUGUAUAUCUAUUGAAUAUAAAUGAAUAGAUAUCUUCAAUAUUUUUUAUUCUAUAAAACUCAAUGUUUUAAAUAACUCAAUAAUAUAUUAAAAUUUCUAUAGUACAUUUAAAUUAAGUUUUUUACUAAUUCAAAGUCUAUUUUUUUAAAUUAAAAUAUGCCUUUAAAAAUAAAAUGAAAAUUUAGAUAUUUUUAUUUACAUCUAAUUAUUUUAUUCGUAUACAUGUGAAAAUAUAUAUUAAAAAAAACUUUCACGUAUUUAACAAUCACAUUUGUUUAUUACAAACCAAAUGACUCUUGUCAAUGUAUCUGUUUGCAACUUUACAUGGUUAAUUUAAUUUUUCAUCCUAAAAGAACAUUUUCAUGCCCUAAUGCCCUAAUCCCUUCAGACAGAAGAGGAACAGACAAAAUAAAAGAGAAUUUAGUGGGGCAUCAAAAAAUGAGAGCACAAUCCGAACAAGUAGACGUAAAAAGAAACCGUGGGGAUCGAGAAGAAGGGAAGGAACCCAACAAGAGAAACAGAGAAAGAAAGGAAGAAAGAUGAGAGACGAAGAAAGCCCAGGAGCUGCAGAAGAAAGAGGAGGAUGAGUUCAUCACGUCGUUCACGUUUCAGCAAAACCCAGUAAGUGGACAAGAAGGCCAAACAAACAAAGAUGGUGAGCACUGGAUGAGGCAAAUGCUAGAACAAAGACUGCGCCGCAUCCACAAAAAUUGCACAAACAAGACAAGACAAUACCUCAAGCCAGACAGACAGACGGACAGACAGACUCUAACAGCACCUUAUUACCUUAUUUAUUACAAACAAACCUAGCUCGAGUUCCCUGUUCCACUGCUCCGACAUCUGCCUUUUACUUUUCCCGUUAACUUUACCCACCUCCGCAGAGAGAAUAUGUGCAAGGAGGAGCCUUCUGCCGGAGCUCUCCCUCCGCUGGUCUCUCACUCUCAUUUUGCUGCUGCUGCUGCAAUAGUGAGUGUCGUUGUGGGUUGUGGGUUGUGCCGGUAGCUAGCAUCAGGGCUUCUUCCACUCCGGGACAUUCAUUGUGUUGCUGCCACACCCGCGUGCGUCGUCAUCAGGAAUCGUGACUGACUGACUGUUUUCAACAGGUUUGCGGUGUCUGGAAUUUCGGGCUUUCUUCUGCGCUAUACCUGGAGCGUGGAGACGGUGCUCGACUUGAGGGAAAAAAAGGGUUUUCGAGUGGGUAGGUGAUUGCGAUUUAGGUGGAAGGUGUCACCAUGCCGAGGUUAGUCUUCUCGAGUCUUGUAAGGCCGGUCUUCUGGUGCACCUAUCUCAGUUUCAAGGAUACCUAUUUUGCAUAUUUAUUUAUUUAUUUAUUUAUUUUCCUUUUGUUCGUGGAUAGACGACCUAACGUGCUAUUCGAAGUGGGUUUUAACUUUUGAAGUCCAUCAGCGAUUGAUAGUUGCAUGUCGCAAAUCAAAAUAUAAAUUUAGGUUUUAAUGAUCUUAAUCAUUUAUCCUUCAUCGGAGCCUGUUAGUUCUUGAGAAAGUGUUACAUUCAGGGUUCUGUAAAUCUCUGCUUUGAGUGUCUUUACUUUGAUUAUGGUAGUGUGUUUGUAUAGAAAAUCGUCCACGGAAGUAAACGGGGACUAAUCCGCUGUCUUUCCUCUCUCAUUGGCUUCGGGAACAUCUUCAACGAGUUGACGCGGGAAGACACUGUUUCUUGAUUUUGUGCAGGUACUACUGUGACUACUGCGACACGCAUCUAACUCAUGACUCUGUGAGUCUCCUCAAACCUUGUGAAAAUGUAUCAGAUAGUAGCAUUUUUUAGUCCAAAUCACGUUUGCGAUUAAUUAUUUUAGCAGUAAACUUUUAAUCAGAUGACGCCGUGCUGAUUCAUCUGUGCUUUGCAAUAAUGUACUUUAUAUGUUAAAGUUGUCUAUACCUUGCCAAAUCCUUGGCCUUGAACGAAAAGUAUUUUUAGACUACUAUGCAGGAAUGUGUUUUAUAAUUCGAAGUAGCAGUUAGGCAUCCACCUAUGUUCAGGAGGUAGUAAACCAAGGUUUGUUGCUGGCCUUUCUGACUAAAAAUCUCGUCAGUAAACCGCUGCUCGGCAUUAACCAUACUUGUAGGGGUGUCUUAUAAAAAUCGAUAUUACUACUUUUCAGAAGUUCUUUAUUUUUUGUUCUCUGGCAAAAUAAAUAAAUAAAUAAAUCUCUAUAUCAUUUUUCUGAAAUAAACGAUUUACAGUAUGUUCUUCAAAAAUAUUAAUUUUGAUGUUUUCAAUAUUGUCUUUCAAAUACAAUAGUUCGAGUUCUAGUUCUCAGAGACUCUUCCUGAAUGUUGUGAUAAUCUAUGAACAUGCAUUCAUGCUGAGAAUGAGUGUUUUUAUGGAUGUGGCAUGUGUACGCAAAUGUAGCCUUCGGUGAGAAAACAACAUUGUGCAGGAUACAAGCACAAGGUGAGAUGAUUUCUCCCUUUUUAGCGCAAGUUAUACGUAUGCGGCUGUACUAAGCUGUCUAGCUCUGAAUAUGUUUUCAUAAUAGUAGUACCUUACUAUGGGCCAUUGCUGCUUGUAGUCGGACACACUGGUUGCAGUAGCCUAGCAUGGUCAAUCAUGUUAAUGUUUUCAUUUAUAUUUCAGGCAAAUGUGCGGCAAUACUACCAGCAAUUCGAGGAGCAACAGACACAAAGUCUAAUUGAUCAAAAAGUGAAAGAACAUUUAGGGCAGACAGCAGCUGCAUUAGCACAACAACAAGUUGGUGGAGCUGUUUAUUCACAUUUGGCAACUCUAGGAGGCGGUUACAAGCCAAUGGCUGCCCCAGGUCUUUUACGACCUCCCGUGUUGGCAGCUGUACGGCCUCCUGUUCUGCCCCCUCCAUCUGGACCUUCUUCAGGUAUAAUUGACCAGCUGUCUUCAUACUAAACAUGUGGUGUGUCGUGGUUAUUAGACGUUUUCAAGAAGUGAAGUAGACACUUCUGUAUCCCGACCACAUUUUGUUGCAUGUGAAGUCUUACCAAAGGCUGCUACACAUCGACCAUGGGCCUUUUGUGAGUGGUUUUUUUUUUUUUUUUUUUUUUUUUUUUUUUUUUUUCUCGUCGUAUACUGAAGAAGCCUAUUUGAAAUGCUGGGUAACUCUCCAUGUAUAGUACAUGACUGUAUGCUCUAUGACAACUGUUCAUAUAAUUUUCUUAAUUAUGUGCAUAUCAGGCUAUGGAAGUGGAGCAUUACCUUCGUACAGACCUCCAGUGGUUCCACCCCCUGGUGGUAGCUCCAAUCAGUAUUAUAAUAAUAAUGGCCCCUCACAGUACUCAACCAGCAAUGGUGCUCCACAGGUUAAUGCAAUCCUCUUCUCGCUUUCCGCCACUCUAAGCUAAUUUAAGAUUCAUAAAUCAGUCAAACUGGCCAGUCUUUUCGUUUCUUUUCCUUCCUUUUCUUCCCAUUCCUUUUCUUUUUGGUGGACUUAAUGCUUAAAAAGCGGUUAGCUGCAGUAGAAAAUUGGCUGAAGCAUUCUCCUGGACUUGGUUUGGCUCUUGUCUGUCAAGUUGGAUGGAGCGGACUAUAGAUAGAGUUAAAUACUGUGUUCGAUAUCACGCAUCUGUUAACUCAUUUACUUUCUUGUCACAUAUACUUUCUUCUCUGGCUUUUUCUUUCAUUUUGAACCUUUUGUGGUCAUAGAAUAGGUGAUUUAUGGCAACUAUUCGUGACUGAAAAACUGAAAGAUAUUUUUCAAAGUGAUCCAUAAAAUAUCCGUUUUUUUAAAAUUAAUUAAUUAUUUUUAUUUAUUAUUUCUACUUCUUAUUGUAUUGUAUUUCAGAAUUCUAUGUCUCUUUCAUGUUCCCUUUAUAGUCAAUGUCUCAACCUUCAAUAUGGCUGCAGUACUCGGUGAACAACAGCUUGGUGCCACAGUCUUACUCUUCAAGUAGCUCGGGUGCUCAGUCUCAGUAUAUGUCGAGUGCCAAUGGAGGGCAGGCUCAGUAUCAAACAAGCAGUGGAGGUACCCAGCAGCAGCAGUAUUCUAAUGGACCAACCAGACCUCCAAUUUCAUCGACAUACAAUCAGGGGCCCAUGUAUCAAAGGUAGAAUGGUGUAAGUGAGGUGAGAACCCUCAGUGUAGAAUUGGACUGUUAUGGUCUAAUUAGUAGACAUGCAUUUGCCUUGGGACUACUUGGGUCAAAUGUGCUCAAAAUCACAUGCAGCGAAUGGCAUUCCACGAUCUUUCUUCAGUGACGAUGAGUUCAAGGCGUUCCUGGCGGGAAGAUGUGGUGCAGGUAGUGUUGUCUGGUAAAAAUGUACUUGCUAAGUUAUAGUCAGGUUAAUAGUUUUCCUGAUGGGCUGACAAACGUUUCAUCUUCUUCAAGUCUUAAUUGCGUUAUGCGGAUGUGUUUGUAAGUGAUGCCACAUUAUCGGGUAUUGAGUUAUUCCUACCAGGAAGGAAAGUUUGUGGUAAUCAUACUACGUUAUAACUCUUGUAGAUAGUUUAGUUGAAUGUCUGUCUAACUGGAAAGGUGUGGUCGAGGACAAUGGUAACAGAUUCGGCACGGAGGUAUCUUCGCUUGGUUUCUGUUGAACUUAUUUCUGAUACUAGCAUCUUCAUAUUUCAUUUGAGUGUGUCUAGCUCGUUUCAAAUUACUUCAUGGUAUCUGAAUCAUAUACUGCGUCAUCAAGGCGCCUUGUGAAGGUUUGUUCACUUUGUGAUUAUUGAAUUUCGUUUGUAAGGUAAGCAAGGAUGUCUUGUGUACCUCGUAAGUUUUAGACCGUUCUAAGUUUAUUCUCUGCUAACUUUCACCUCAUUACAAUUAUAACUUUCUCUUGUUCUAGUUUGCCCUUCAUGGGAAAAAUACCACUUACAGUUGGUGAUUAAAAUUGCAUCCGUUUCAGUUCUUUCUGGAUUUUGUAUUUUCGCGAAAUUUCACAGGUGGUGGUUCAGAUUCCUAGCCGGUACAGUUGUUCCACUAUCCUCUUCCCCUUUAGAUGCAGUUUAUCUUCUGAAAUAUGGCUGUUUUUUCUGGGAUUGUGUAAAAUGUGUUAAAGAUAAUCUUGUAUGUCGAGCAAGAAGGGUCUACCGGCUCGGUAUCAAUUAAGCCCUGGAGGUUCUCUGCAGCCGUUAUUCCGUUGAACCAUACGGUGUCUACUCCAUCAACAUACAACCAAGGACUUGCUUGUUAAAAGAAGACUGGUGUAAGCAGGAUGAGAACUUAGUCCUGAAAAUUGUGUCGAUUGAAAAGGAAAGAACGAAAGUUGGAGUUCGAAGUCGCUAGACUUAACGAUUAUCCUAGAAUAUAGGUCUCAGCAUGUGUGAAUAAUCUCUUUUGUAGCUUCCACAUCUGUUGACCAAUUUGUGACUUCCACAGUUAUCUGGUGACUACUUCCUCGCCUGUGAAUUUCUUUACAUAAGUUCAAUGGUCCACACACAGUGAAUUCACUUAUCGAUACAUGUUCAAUUAAAAUGAUUGGAACAUUACACUCACGUCGGACAUUGUACAGAAUGAUAAACAAUUAAUGUAGACUUACAGUUGGAACUGCUCUGUUCAGAGCUGUACCCACAGUUAACAGCAUAGAAAUUUUCCAGUAUCCAAGACUGUACAAGCGCCAAUUUCCGAACCAACAAUGUAUGGUGAAAUUGUGUAAUCAUGCCGUCAAUUGCCACAAAGUCCUAAACCAUACAAUCCAAUCUGUUUGUAAUGCUAUUUUGGAACAAAGGACCCUUCUCCCUCAUUUGAUACGUACAUAAAAUACUAUCACUAAGAAUUACUCUAGAAAAGCCAACCCAAAAACACUCGUGAUAUGAACAAAUAAUAAAACUAGAUAAACGACGAUUAUCUAUGCUACAAAACCAUUGUAUUCAGAUAUCUCUAGUAUAACCAACUUGAUUUAGAUAAUAUGGAAGUUCUAGAGUUCUCAUCCAGUCUAUUCAAAAUCCAAAAGUGCAAAAAUGCAAAAUAUCACAUAUGUAUAACAACGAAAAUGAGGACGUCGAAUCUCUUAGAUUCACAGCAUCUUCGGUCACUUUCGAUGCAUCAUCGCCUAAGACGUCUAGGUCAAAAGGGGUUGUUCAUGUACAAGUCCUUUCCUCUAAGAGUCGUGGAAGUGUUCCAAAUCGGGGUGACCCCCAGGCGGUCUUCUUGGAUUCCUGCAGAACCGAUAUAAAUGCAAACGAUUGUGUCCAAUUAUCUGAACUGGUUAAUGAUUGAAAAUAAGGAUUGUCGAGAUCGACAAAUAAUUCCUUCACUUCUACACCGCAAAACCAGAUAUCAUGUUUUUCACAUGGAUGCAUAUAUCGUAUGAAGCAACAAAUAUCCUCCCGAACAAAACCUACCAACUACUACACGGAGUAUUCACACCAUAUAGGCCAGUUUGAGAUAAAUUUUGAGUUAAAAUCUCCAACCUAUCUUCAGGGCGAGCUAUUGCAAACAUUGCAUGGUACAGAAUAAUUUAGACAACAUCGCCCGUAUUUUGAUCAAGUGAAUAUUUCCAACUAGUAGCUAGUCACCGGACUCCAACAUUGGGGAGGUGUCACUUGUUUCAAACCUCUAAAGAAACUCAUGCACAUGAAGAUAUAGAAAAUUAUACAUUACCUGGUAAAGCGGUUUGGUUCAAACCCUGGAACUCCUGGAGGUCCAUAAGGAUCAAACCUGGCACCCGGUGGCACUCUGCGAAGCAGAAAUUUCGUACAGAUUCAGAAUCAGUUCAUUGUGCUGUUCAAUUCGGCUUACUUUGAUAAGCAGACACAAUCACAGAUAAUUCUCCACAGAAAAGUUAGACAGUAGGAUUAAAUAGAGAUGUAUAUGUAAAGCCCACUGUGAUAAUACUUAUUGCUUGAACACAAAUUAAUGACUUCAGGUUGCCUCAAACCAUUUGCUAAAGUAGUCGAAUGUUAACAACUCUCACAUCUAAUCAGGGCAACCUGAUAUCUUUUCAGUGACGAUGACCAAUUAAAGUAGCGAGCCAAACGUUGCUUUAGAUUCAUUUCGUUUUGAGGAUCAUGCAGUACUGCUGGCUAACUAUGCUGAACGUUAAAUCUAAAUAUGUUCUGACCAAAGAUAAAUUGACUUCAGUGUAAUCAGAUACUGAUUAUGUAUACAAAUGUAUGAAAAUAUUUUAAGAGGCCAUAAAAGGCAAGAAAUGAUACGUACGAAAAAUCACCACCAAAACCAGGUUGCCCUGGUCGAGGUACUCCCACUGGACCCCAUCGCGGGUCAUUCGGGCCUGCACAGAGGAACGGCCAGAACCUUAUUAGAUCAUGAUCCGUUGGUUGAUAGUCAUAAGGUCCAACUUAACUUUGUACAAGAAAAUAACACAAAAUAAUAUUCUGUUGAGGUUAGAAACACAUACCAACUAGCAUUCCGGGCCCUCCAAAAGGACUCCCGCUGCAAUAACCGAGACAAUGUUAAAGCGACGGUUAAGAUAACUGCAAUAAACAUACGACCUAAAAGUGAGGUGGAUAGUUCAGAUAUAAUGUGCCUAGAGGACACUGAAAACUGCACAUAAUAAGAUUGUGACUGAAAACAACAGACAAUAUUCGAAACACAUUAAUCAAGUUGCUAUCCUUAACUGCAUUGCACCAUCAAAACUUCCUUUAUACAUAGAUAUAAAUAACAAACUCUAGAGGGUUUCUUCGACAUAAAAAGUCAUUUUUUGGGAUGUUGUGCUGUGAUAUGGAAAAACGUGCAUGGUACUAGAAAGGUCCCGCGAAACAAGUUCGCUUACCAAAUUUUUGUGUGCAUAUAUUCGCGCGCAUGCACAGAAAUCCAACUCAGUUUUAUAAGAAUUUGAAAACUCAGCAGAAGAUAAAUCAAGAGAGAAUCUCACCCGGGAACGAAGAUCCCAGCUCCAGGAGAUGGGUAAAGAUCGCCCCCAUCAAAUCCAGGUACUUGAGGAUACGAAAACCUGCUUUACAACGUGAAAGUACAUCUCAAAAGAUCCAAAUAAUGUUUAUUGUUUCUUUUGCAAACUUAAUAAAUACAAUAAAAAUACCUCUAAUAGUUUUCAACCAUGACUAAAAGCUAACAGGACGCAUUUAUUAUGUAAACAAGCUGAUUUAAAUACCUGUGAUCACCAGGUCGCUGCCGGUCAUCCCUGAGUGAAGUACUCAUUUCGGAUGACCGUCUAUCUCCUGUGGUUGAGUCUGCGCUAACCCUGCCUUCAAAAGGAUUUCAUAUUGAUUAACAAGUGCAAACACAACCAGAACUUGAAACACUUUUCGUAAAACGACAACAGGUGUACAAGAAUACCACAGUAUCACGAUAAGGCAUACUUGACAUGCUAAUGCAAAGAAAAUCACCUACGAAACAAUGUCCACCACUCUCAGUAUAGAUAAUAUGCUAAAUUUAGUGCGUGAAGUGGUAAAGGGCGGAAACUAACAUUCUUGUAGAUGUACUCUCUUUCUUGGGAGAAAGUUUACUCGAAAUGGACAAGUUAACAAGAUUCACCAAGCCUUCAAGGUUUGUGUACUGCUGGUUAUAACUGCCUGCUGCAUCUCCAUCAGCUGCAUAGAGGGUUGUCCUGCGAUUAAAUCGGAAGCACUUGAAUUAGAGAGAACGAGCAAAUUAUAGCUUACCAUAAAAAUAAUAAUAACAGAACUGAAAGAUGACUAAGGCGAAAGAGACUUCUGAGAGCCACUUGGAUAGAGAAGAUUGCAGUAGAAGCUACAAACGUGGGGGGUAUAUCAACGUUCAAAUGUUGUUCACUCAGGUGGCUGGACAAGGAGAAGACAAAAAUACGAAAUUGGCAAGAAUCUGUAGAGUUGAAUAGCAGAAGGAAAAAAAAAAAAACAAAACAAAACAAAACAAAACAAGACAAAAACGAAAAAAAAAGACGGAACAAAAAACAAAGAGAAGAGGAGGAGGCCAAUUGCUAACUUGAUCUCGGCAUGCACGGGAGUAUCCAAUCCCGAUGACACUGCAUCAACCAUGAGAAAUUCGCCCAUAGCAAUGCAAUUGACGGUAAUUGAAGGCAAGAGAUCGGGUUGGCCACUUCCAGAAUAACGAAAUGAAUAGGCACCAGGCAUCUCAUCCCAGCCGUCAAUUCCAACCUCGGGCUCGUCCUGCAGGGCGGACAAUGGAGCGGAGGAGGGAUUAGCCUUGGUGCCGGUGGCAACGAGGGAAUAGCCAUUGGCUAAGAAAGUGGCGUGCAGGGCAAAAGCAGCGCGAUCCAAAGCAGAUCGAAGAGUGGGACGCGAGGCGCGAAUAACGCCCAAGACGGCCCCAGUCGUAGACAUGGUAGACAGACAAAACAGAGGAGAAGAGAAGAGCAGAGUGAGAGGGGCAGAGGAGCUGUGUGCUGUGUUGAGAGGAGGAGCGAGAGCAGGAGGCAGAAGCCAGAAAUAGAAGAUGAAGAUGAUGAAGAAGAAGACGGACACCGGGACGGAGAAGCCAGUUGAGGGAGGGUUGAGGAGUGGACGCUGGGGUUGGGAUUGAGGCCAUCAAACCCACAACAUCCUCCCUCCCUCCCUCCCUUCCUUCCUCCCUCCCUCCCUUCCUUCCUCCCUCCUCUUCUUCCCUGCCAAAGCACAGCACAGCAGCGUGUCACACAGACAGAUAAGCGAAAUGCCCCACCCCUGCUGGUGCUCCACGAUGGACAGAGUUUUUAACAGAUGUUUAUCAUCCAUCCAUGAGGACGUAAGCUUGCUAUUUUCACCACUCCAACAAUGCACCUCAACACCCACAGCCAGCCGGAGACGGGUGGGCGCGGGAAUGCGAGUGCAUUUUCAUCUUAUGGAUGGAUGUGUAUAUGCGUGGAUGGAUGUUGAUUCAGGCGACGAAUUGGGAAGAGGCUCUGCUACUCGUGCGCAAUGGUUGGGAGGGGGGUUUUACAGUUUUUUAGCAUAUCUCUACACCUGUUUUCAAUAACUUUUGAGAGAAUUACGAAUUGUGAUGUGAUCUUCACCUGUUAUUAGAGAAGAAGAAAGUAAAAAUAUUACAUGAGUGUUAUUUACAAUGUAUGAUUGCACAAUCAGAAUCAAUAAAUAUCUGUUUUGAAAAGUUUAUCAUUCUUAUUCAUGUGAUUAUUGAUAUUAUUUACAGAAGGAGAUUUCAGAAUCAUACGUGAAGAAACUAUUCCCACAAACUGCAAGUCUGAUCCAUCAUGUACAAGUUCAUUUAACUAAGUGUUUUCACAAAUGCAGUUGUUUUUAUCAUCUGACUGCUUAAUAGGUUAUUAUUAGAAUGGUAAACCAUUAGAAAAAUACAGUCUUAGAUGGAUAGAUAUAUGUUUAAAUAUCUGCAGGUUUUCAUUUGUAUCAUGACUUAUUUUACAGUUCAAUGAGCAGGAAUGAUUUAAUUACAGUACUUGAAGGAUGGUUGAAGUAUGAUUUGGAAUUUGGUACCAAACUGGAUACACAAACAUACUGCAUUGGUGCACUUAUUCUAAAGAACUGAUUCUUUGAAUAAAAUGUUUUUGAGAUACAAGCUAAAUCAGUGUAUAUGACAUUUAUAACAAGUACAAAUUUUUGAUAAACUAUUAACCAGUUGUAUAUUAUUGUAUAAAUAAAUCACUGUAAUAUUUAAUAUUUUUGAACUAGAUAAAAUAUAUAUAAUAUUUAAUAUUAUAUAUGUAUAUAUAUAUAUAUAUAUAUAUCUAUAUAUUCUAUGGCCUUUUAGGUAUUAUUAUUAAAGUAACAAUAUUUUAUUCUUAUUUUGAUGCAAAUGUAGAGUUGGGAAUAUAUUUUAAAACUACAAUGUGAGAUCUUGACGCCUUUUGUUGCUACAAAAGUUUUUAUACUUAAGACAUGUUUCAACUAACUCGUUUUAAAAUAAUUAAGUGUCUAUUUGAAAUAAAAGUAUCGCAAUAAAUUAGAACUUAGCAAGUAAAGUCAUAUUCUACCGUCUAAGUGGUGUAAAUGAAUAAUAUAAGAAAUUCUAUAAGUAUUUUUGGAUGUUUCUUUAGUCACUUUGAUAAUUAAAAGCUGAUUGCUAUGAACAUUAUGUCAAUGUUAAAAGAGUAACAUAAAGUGUAAAAUAUAAACAAAGAAAUUUUACUUAAAAGUGACAUCACUAUUGUAAAAAAGACAAGGUAGAAAUGUGGUUUAAGGUGAUUGCAUUAAAAAUAUACAAUUCUGGUUUUAAAAUCAUAUGUUAAAGCAAGUUAUUGACAUAGAAUAAAAUAUAAUAUAAUAAUUUAAUAUUUUAUAUAUUUAAAAUUUAUAUAAAAAUAAUUAUAAUAUUACAUUAUUAUAUAAAAAUAAUAAUGUAAUAUUAUAUAUAUUUAAAAUUAUAAUUAAAUAUAAUUAAAUAAAAACAGCUAUGCAUAUAUAUAUAUAUAUAUAUAUAUAUAUAUAUAUCAAAUGGUUCUUUACAAAUGUCAAUCAAAAAAAUCCUAAAAUUCCAAAGUAAAGAAAUAUAUCUUAAAAACUUUUACAUUUUAUUAUAGUUGUCUUAUAUUGUAAUAUAUAAUAUAAUAUAAUAUAAUAUAUAUAUUAUAUUAAUAUAUAAUAUAAUAUAAUAUUAAUAUAUAAUAUAAUAUAAUAUAUAUAUUAUAUUAAUAUAUAAUAUAAUAUAAUAUUAAUAUAUAAUAUAAUAUAAUAUAUAUAUUAUAUUAAUAUAUAAUAUAAUAUAAAAUAUAAAAUAUAUUAAUUUUAUUAUAUUUCUAAAAUAAAUAUACCUUUAUAGUUGUAAAACAUAUUUUUAUUUUUAUUUUUUCUAUUACAAACUAUCUUUUUUAAUAAUCAUCCAAAAAUAAUCAAUAAUCUUUAAGAAUAAUCAAUAUAAUUAUUUAAAACUAUAUAUUUUUCAAGAUUAUGCAAAAAUAAAUAAAAUAACUUUGAUAAUUUUUUUAUCUUUCUUAAAUUAAUAUAUUUUUAAACUUUUAUAUGAUAUAAUUAUUUUUGAUUAAAAAAAUUCACAAUAAACUUAUUUAUUAUUUUAAUUAUAUAUAUAUAUAUAUACAUAUUUAUAGCAAAUUAAAUUAAAAUCGUAAAAAAUAAUAUAUGUAUACAUAUUCCAUAUGAAUUGUAGCACCUUAGAUGUAGGUAGAAGGAUAAAUCUAAGGUUUCAUGGCUUCUCUAGGAUAUCCUUAUACACUCCUUUUAAGCCUCAAUGAGGCUCAAAUUAUUUAUUUUUUAAUUUAGUUAUUUUUGAGGUAAAACAUAUUCACUUAAUAAUUAAUUAUUUGUUUUGUAUCUUUAAACCUCCAUAACAUAAUCAUAAUAACUUACAUUUGUAUAUUUUUCCAUGUAAUUGGAAAGAUAAAAAAUAAUAAUUUUUUUUUAUUAGAUAAAUACCUAAUAAAUAAACCAUAAUUAGUUUUAUAGUGAAUAAUUGCUUUAUUGCAAUUCUAUUAUUUUUUUUGUUUUGUUUUGUCUUUUUGUCUUUUUUUUUUUUUUUUUUCUUAUUUUUUUUCUUUAACUUCAAACUAUGAAUUAUAAGUAAUUUUUAGUUAAUGCUACCUUGUAAUUUAGAUUGAGUGAUAAAAUUUAUUCUCACAAAGAAUACAAUAUUAAAGACGUCAAUCAUUACAAAAAAAAAAAAAAAAAAAAAAAAAAAAAAAAAAAAAACUCAAUGCAUUCUUAUGCCAUUAGAAAAAAAUAGAUAUUUAUUUAAAGAAAGUAUAAUAUUAAGAUUAGAAUGGCUAUUGCCAAAGACCAUAAGACUAAAGACUUCAUAAUCAAGACUAAGAACAAUAAAGGUGUUGAAAAGAGUAAGAAAGGCCUCUCUCGUGCCUCCAUAUGUACUACCUUUCUAUCAUUUAGCCUUGUUUUUCUAUUAUAUCUUUUUACUAGGCUCUUUAAUAAUAACAUCCAUAUUUAUUUUAUUUUUUACCAUAAAGUCAUAUUAUCACACGAUAUCCACCUCUUUUAAAUCUUUGCAUCCUUUGGUAUAUGCCAAAUAAUCCAAAACUUGUUUGAUUCAUAUUAUAUUCUCUAUACCUUCAUUCAAAUCUUUUUAUAUUAUUUUUGGUAUCUAAGUCAAAAUCACCUUCUUAACAUAGAAGUUUUAUUUCUUCUACAAGGUUUAAUAAGUCUUUAUGAACUAAGAACAAGUAUCUUAUUUUCCAUAAUUUACUUGUCAUACUAAUUAAAUCAAUAAUCUAUUAUAAAUAAAUAGCUAAAAAAUAUGCUUAAUAUAAGUCAUCUUGAUAUCAUAUAUUAAAAUAUAUUUGAUAAGUUUAUUACAAUUUUAUCAUGGAAAUGAAUAUUUAUUCUAAUAAUUAACUAUAUGACGAAAUAGAAAUAAGUAAACAUAGAUUAAUUUCAUAAUAACUUUUAGAAAAAUUUUCUAGAAGCUUUAUAGAUGCAGUUUUGACUUUACAUGUGUUUGUAAUUGAUUGGUAGGUUAAAAUCUUGGUCAAUAAGUUGACCACAUACCACACAUGUUGGUAGCUUGUAGAACAAGCUAAUUAUGUAGCACACAUAUAGAAAAUUUCCUUUGCAAGUCAAGUCAACACAUGUUGAAAGUCCUAUACGACAUUGUUACAUAACUUUUAGUUAGAGAGUAUAUAUAGAGCCAAGAGUGAAGCCUUCUUCACUCUUCUUAAUGCCCUAUAAGUUUUUAGUCUUAUUUCAAGACUUUUUAGUACUUUGUCUUUAUUAAUAGCUAUUUUAAUUUAAUAUAUUACUAUCUUUGAAUAAAUUUUUAAUCUUUUUAAGUGACACAAAAGUCAAUUGAAUUUUCUUUUAUUAAGAUUCAUGUCUUUGAUAUUUUGAAAAAAGUGCCAACUUCUUAUUUUUGUUUUUUUUUAAAAAAUGAAUAAAUUAUUCUACUUCUAUUAUUAUAAUUUGAAGGUUGCAAAUUAUCCACUUUUAAACAAAUAAUUUAAUUUUUUAACAUUAAUUUUUUUCUUAAAGAAAAUGGAUUAUCUUUUUUUGUAGAAAUUUUUAUUUGAUAUUAAAGGUUGUAGUUUAUCUUCUUCUAAUUUAAUUUUUAAUAUUUUUUAAUUAUCUAUAGAAAAAAAUUUUAGAACUCCAAAGUCUACACCAAAAAGUUAUGCAGUUGAAAGAAGUAAGUAGAUCAACUUUACAACUAAAUUUAAAAAGUUUUGCUUCUACAAGCACAAGGGAGAUAAAGAUUAAUAUGCAAGAGAAGUUUGAUGGAACAAAAUCAAAAUUUUGAAGAUUUCUAUGACAGAUUAAGUUUUUUUUAAAGUUUACAUCUUUUCAAAUAUUAUGAUGGAUUUACACAAGUUGGAUUCAUAGGUGCACUUCUAUUAAGAAGUGCUCUCUUUUUAUUUGCAUCUUUGACAAAAAAAUGUUUACAACUAUUCUAUAAUUUAAAUUCAUUCUUGGAAGUAUAUAUGGCUAUAUUUGGAAGAAAUGAUCAAAAAAAGAUAGUAGAGACCAAGCUCAUAUCACUAUAAUAAGGAUUAUGCUCAAUCACUAUAUAUAUUGUUGAACUCAAAAUCUUACUUUUGAUGUGGAUUAAGAUAGCAAAGCCUAUAUCAAUCAAAUUUGAUAUGGAUUAAAAAAUAAUAUCAAAAAUUAAUUAUUGAUAAUGUCAAGAAUAGAUUCACUGGAGCAAUUUAUUGUUCAAGCCAUUGGAUAUGACAAUUGAUUCUUUGAAAGAUAUCAAAAAUAAAGAUUUGAUUGAAGAAGUACAAGUCAAGCCAUAACAACAUCUUUUAAGUUUUUGAAAGUUUAUUUGUCCAAAUUAGAGAUAUGUAAAUUGAUACAAUAUAUUUUAAAAUUCUUAUUUAGUAAGAAAAUAUUUAUUUUUGUCAAGAAGAUUUGUGCCUAUAUUAUAGAUAAUCUAAGAAUAAUGCUUAAUAUUAUCCUAAGUAGCAACACAAUCACAAAAUGAGCAACAUGGUUUUCAAAGAAGACAACAUGUUAAAAAAUAAAUUUUUCUAGCUAAAAUAGAAACUUUGUAAUUAAAAUCUUCUAUAAUACCUAAUAAAGGUCUUAUUCUCUCUUCAGAUUCUUCACGUUGUUUCACAAUAGAAGUUUAUUUAGGAUUGAAAAAUCACAAAGUCUUAGCCUUGUUAGAUUCAAGAGCUUUAGCUUAUUAUAUAAGUAAAGACUUUGUUAAAAUAAGAAAUAUCAUUAGUUAAUAAAAAUAAAAUUAUACAUAUAGAAGUCAUAGAUGAUCAUUUAUUAUCUUCUAUAUAUAUUAUUUAUGAUAUUAUGUUUUUAGAUGUAGCAAUUAAAGAUCAUAAUAGCAUAAUAAUAUUUAACAUAAUAAGAUUUUCUUCCAAUCUAGUUAUUUUAGGAUUAUUAUGGUUAAAAAAGUAUAAUCUUCAAAUAGAUUGGAUUUCUUGUAUCCUUAAUUUUUCUUAUAGUUUGAUCUAAAAUUUUAUUAGUCAAAUAAAAAUAUAUAAGUCUAGUACAUCCAAAUCCUUACUAAUAGAUAGAAAGGCUUGUUUAUAUGUAGCAAAAGAAGGGUCAUUUUUUGUUAAAUAUGACAUAUCUAUUUUUAAUAGUAGAAAGACCUCAAGUAGUAUAUUUAGUAGGUAUCAAGAUUUUCAAGAUUUUUUUUAAAUAUAUAUAUAUAUAUAUAUAUAUAUAUAUAUAUAUAUAUAUAUAUAUAUAGUAUUGAUCCUAUGAUUAUUCAAUUGAUUUACAAGAAAGAGCUCAACUACCAUUUGGAUCAAUCUACAACUUAUUGGAAAAUGAAUUUGCUAUAUUAAAAGAUAUAUUGACAAGAACUUGGCUAAGAACUUCAUACACCAUUCAAAAUCUCUAAUUAGAGCUCCUAUCAUAUUUGUGAAGAAAAAAGAUGGAUCUCUAUAGAUGUACAUAGACUAUGAAGGACUUAUUAAGAUCACCAUCAAGAAUAGGUAUCUCCUACUUCUAAAUUUAAGACUUCUUGACCAAUGCAAUCAAGAAAAGAUCUACACAAAAAUAGAUCUACAAUGAGCAUAUAAUCUCACCUGCAUCGAAAAAAGAUAUGAAUAAAAGAUUAUUUUUUGAACUAAGUAUAGACAUUUCAAAUAUAAUGUCAUACCUUUUAGACUCAUGAACAUACCAGUUGCUUCUUAAUAUCUCAUGAAUGAUAUUUUUUGUAAAUUUCUUAAUAAAUUUCUUAUUUUUUAUUUAGACAAUAUUCUAAUAUAUUCUAAAAAUACACAAGAACAUAAACUUUAUAUUCAUGUUGUAUAAAAAAAAUUUAAAGAUGUAUGAUUAUAUGCCAAAAUAAAAAAGUGUAUAUUUUAUACUACUUAAGUUGAUUUCUUAGGUUACAUCAUUUCUCCUCAAAGUCACUCCAAGUGUCUAAAUUAUCUCUAUGCAAAUCCUUCAUUUUUUUUUUUUAAUUUUAAGAAUGCAUGCCAGUUGAAAACUAGGGAUAUGGCAAUACUCGAAGACUUGAUAUACUUCCAUUUCUUUAAUAUAUGCUUGAAGAAACUUAGUGAUGUUCUUCCCAUCAAACCUCUCAUACUUAUUGACCAUGCUUUGCAAUGCUUUAGUCACCCUCUUUUUACUUCAUUGUACAUUUUAUUAUCUCUCAACAAACAUAUCCAAAGUUAAAAGCAAAUCAUUAGCACUUGUUCUUCUAGUGCUACUUGUACUAGUCCCUCCAAAAUCAUCCAUCAUCUUCAAAUAUCAAAAAUCUCUCACUUCUUCACUUUUAAUUCUUGAAUUCCUUCCCAGGGACCAUAAAUAAUCCAAAAUAAAGUAAAUUAGAAAAUUAAAUAAUUAGGCAUAUAUAGGAAGAAAUUAAGAGUAGAUUUUAGCAAAAUUUAUUUUAAGAAGUUAAGAAUUGAUACUCAAAGAGGACUAAUUGUCAAUCUUGGUUGAAAUUAGACCUUGAGGUAUAAAAUCACAUAUCAAUGGCAACUUCGGAGUUCUUUGGUAGAUUGAAGAGUAGAAUUUUAUAUUAGAUUUGAAGAAAAAAAUUUGGUCAUGGGUUUCUUGAAUUUUGUAGUAUGUGUAGGGAUAAAUUUUGGACUAGGUACAUUAUAUCAACCAUACUAGGUGGACAAGGUCAAGAACACCAAAAUUUUAAUGCCACAAAAUUAAUAAAGGCAACAAGGUAAGAUGGCUUGGAUUUGAGUUAAUGGAGGUGAACUCAUUUGGAACAUGGAGGUUGCUUGGGAGAAAGUUUGUAUUCACUAGAAAUGUUAGAAUUAUUGGAUUGGAUAGUUAUUUGAAUUAAGAUUGCAUGGAAUAUCAAAUUAUCAUUUAGUUUUAUAGCAUGAAUUAGAAAUUCUAAAGAAAGAAAGAAAGAAAGAGGGUUGCAAUGUCAUAUUGUGGUUUAGCUACUAUGUAAAAAUAAUACAUAUAAAUAUUUAAUAUAUAAUUUAUUAUACAAUGUGGUAAGAGCCACAUUAUUAGAUUUUAUUUAGUUAAAAAAUAGAGUUAGAUUACUACUUUGAAGUAGUUAAUUUAAAAGGACUUUUAUUGAGAUUGAUUUUAUGUUGAUUUUAGUUUUUAUAUAAUUAGAGUCAUCUUUAUUAGAAAUUGGCGACUCUUAAAAUCAUAUUUUAUUUUUUUUAUUUAGUAUUUAGGACAGAUAUUAUAUAAAUCUUAUAAAAAAGACGAUUAGAGAUGGAUUUUGAUAGCAAAAUGAGUAAUUAGGACAUGUGUAUGGAUUAAUGGAGAUGGAUGAUGAAAAUCUCUAUUAUUAUUGGCCAAAAGGCAUACCCAAUUGGCUCCAAAGAAGAUGCCUAAUGCCUUAUUAGAGACCACGAUUAUUCUUUGGAUGAAAUUCAAAUUUAAAAAGUUAGAAUCAAAAAGUUUAAGAUUUUGGCUAUGGUUUUGAUACAAAUUUUGGAUGUUUUGGAGUUUUUAUGAGAAAAAUAUAGGUGCUCAAUGUUAGGAUGUGGGUUUUAUAUCUACUAUCACGCUUUGGGAUAUAACUCAUGCAUUUGAAAAGCAAUAAAGGAUCGGCAAUUAGGAUUGAAAAAGAGCAUUUUUUUUGCUACACUUUUUGCAUACUGCUUGAUAAAUUCUAAGCUGAGAUAAAGGAGUUAUAGGAAGUUGAAGUUAACACUUGCAAUCUAAGGGCAGUAAAAGACUUGAUUUACUAGUGGUUAUAUUUUGAACCAAAUCUUGAGAAAUUUGACAAAAUUUUGGCCAAUUUUUUUGAAAAUAUGUGUUAUCAUGUUAAUAAAUUUAUACUUAAUUUUUGUGGCAUUUGGAGUUUGGAUUUUUGAGAUAUAGAGAAAAUAGUGUUUGGAUGCUUGUAAAUUAGGAUUUAAAGCACUUGCUAAGGUUUCUAAGAUGCCAAAUGCUCUUUAGUAGAUUUAUAAUUUAUUUUUUUUAUAGUGAAGCUUAAGAAUAUACCCUAUAUUUUCUAGAAAUUUGAAAAAAAAAUUAAAUGGUAUGAUUAAGAUAUAUGAAUUUUUAAAGUUUGGAAGAGAAAAAAAAAUCUUUGUAGAAGAAAAAUAUUUUAAAAGGUUUUUGCUAUAAUUUGGAUAUUUUAUGCAAAAUAAAGGGAUUUUUAGGAGCCAAGAUAGUAUGUAUAUAUGUAUAUAUUAGAGAUAGAGAUAUAGAGCUAUGAAAAAUUAUAAUAUAAAGAUGGAUAUUUAUAAGAGAAUUAUAGAUUAUCUGUAAGCUUAUAAAAAAUCAAACUUAUCAGCAAAUAACUAAUUAUGAUUUGAUAUAACAAAGGAUAUAUGAACAUUUUUAAAUCCUUUAGAAAGCCUUAUAUAUAAAGCUUCUUAAAUACAAAAGGAUUUUAUUAUUAGAAUAUCUUUAGAUACUAUCAUAUUUCUUUGGCCUUUAUAAUAAGAAAACAUCACUUAUUGGAAUUUGUCUAAUAAAUUAAAGCUAAAUUCUCUACAACUAGGCAUUUGGUGUAUUCUUGUAUAGAGAAUUAUACCACAUGACAGUGGUGUGAAGAGGUUUUUUGGUCGUGGGGCAUAGGAGUAGAUCCAGAUUAGUGGAGAAGGUUGCUGAUCAAGAGAAAGAGGAAGUGUAGAUUUUAAAGGAACUUGAGUUGGCUAUAAGAAAGGCAACAAUAAUAUUGCAUUGAAUUGGUGUUGACAAUAUUGUACUAAAAUUAUUUAUAGUAUAUAAAAAUUAAAUAAAAUAUAUAAUAUAUUUAUAAAUAUUGAUGUAUAUUAGAGUAGUUAAUAAGAUAAUUUAAAAAGAGUUGAUAUAAGAAAAUUUCCUUGACUUUGAACAAAAAUUAUAAAAUCAAACCAAAUUCUAUAAAUAAAAAGCCUUAUUUUUUUAGAACAAGCUCUAAGCUAGCUCUCCAAUCCUAAUUGCAAAUUUUUAAAUGCCUCCCUAUUUUGCUCUAGGCAAUUGUUUUAGUAGUUAGAGGUCUGAUUUUGACCAUGUCUCACAAAUGGUCGAUCCAUGAGUAUCAAUCUAACCUAUCCUAGGGAUUUUUUAGCCCAAUCCUAUCUUUAACUUAACCUUAGUAUCAACUAUGCUAAUUAUUUAUCUCUUUUAAUCUAACCUUAUGAAUUUAUAAUCUUUCAAAGGUAAUAAAUGAGUUUCUACAGCCUAGAAGGUAAAAUUACUAACCAAUCUUUAACCUACUAACUAUUAAGGCAAGAUAAUAAACUAAAAGAUUUUUAUAAAAGCCAUGUUUAAAUAUCUUAAAUUUUUAUUGAACCAAGAUAAUUAGAUAUUAAUUAAAAUUUUAUUUUUGAUUAUAUUUUUACAAUAUAGUCAUAUUACAAUAUGACAAUGGAUCUUAUUUGUAUAGUUGUUUUAGAAGAGACAACAAAGUGAAGGCAUUCCUAUAGGAAGAGAUUUAAGCAGUGGUGUUGUAGGGACAUUGUCGUAAUACAUAAAAUCUUACUCAAGAAUAUAUUAGACACCUUGCAGUGAAAGGUAGAACAAAAAUUACAACAACAAAAUUCCAACUCUAAUAGAAGACUAAAUAAAUUCUAAUUAAAAUAUAAUAAUAUUAAGCAAGCUUUAAUCAAAUUUAAAAGAGAAUUAAAGAAAUUAUAAAUGAAACAAUAAGAAAUCUUAAAAGAGUUCAAAAGAAAUCAACAAUAAACUUUAAAAGAAUCUUUAAGAAAUUCUAAAAAAAUCUUAAAAUAAUCACAAAUAUAUCUUAAAUAAAUCUCAACUAAAUCCUAAUUUAAUCAUAGUUAAAAUCCUAAUAGACUUGAAUCAAAUCCUAGGCAAAAUCCUAACUACACUCUAAAUCGUAAAUCAAGCCCUAGACAAAUCCUAAACUCUAAACCAAAUCCUAAUAAAACCCUAGACAAAUCUCAAACUCUAAUUAAAUCCUAAAUUCUAAAUCAAAUUCUAACCAAACCUUAGAUCCUAAAUCAAACCCUAAACCAAAUCCUAACCAAAUUCUAAAUCCUAAAUAAAUCCUAAUCAAAUCCUAAACUCUAAACCAAAUCCUAACAAAAUCCUAAACCCUAAAUCCUAAAUCAAAUCAUAAACCCUAAAUCCUAAUCAAGUACUAAAUCCUAAACCAAAUCCUAACCAAAUCUUAAUCCUAAACCAAACCCUAACUAAAUCCUAAA